rnacentral:lncRNA from 1 species
AUGCAAACCGGGUGCAUAAGCCUCAACGACAAAUUCAACCGAAGCCUCAACCGAAGAAACCACCAACGGUUGAUCAAAAGUCUAAACAAACGGCACCUAACGUCGACAAGUCGAGAAAACCAACGAUCCGACAAGUUUGGAUCUGGAAAUGUGAUAUCUUUCCUUGCUCCUCGUCUUAGUCAUUUUUUAUCUUUAGUGUAAUGCUUUGAUUGGUGCUUGUUGCAUAAUUUUAUUCAUUGCAUUACAUGUUUAAAUAAUUUUUGGUGCUUUGAAUUUUGUUUAUUUAAAAAUCAUUAUGAGGAAAGGUGUUUAGGAAUUCAAAUUUUUCGAAAAAAGAGAUGAUUGAGAUUCAUGAUUUGGAGAGAGAAAUUUUUUUAAAAAAAGGUAUUUGAACAGUGUUUAUCUUCACAAUGAUAAUUAUGUUAAAUUCAUAUUAAUUAUCGGUUUUACUCCACUUUUUAUUAUUUUGACGAUAAUUUAAUAUAUAAUUUCUUAAUUCAUAAAUUAAUCAAAAUUUUGAAAUCAAAUUUGAUUUUUUGGUGAU